UCCAGAACAAAAUUGACAACUUCUUUUCUGUGUAAAAGCUUCGUUUAUAUUCCUAAGAAACGAAUUUCAAAAAUUAAUUUUCUUAUUCAUAAAUUUCGAAACUUGAAAUUGCGGACAGCGUAGCGCACUGAUUUUCGAUUAGCAAUUGGUCGUAAUUUUAUACAUUUUUUGCUAAUUCCUGCCAUGUGACAUGUAUCAACAACAUCAGUAACAUCUUUGUAAGAUUCCGGCGCUUCCUCCAUCACAAGUUUGGGCGAUGCCACACGUAUAGCAAUACCCAUUUCUUCUAAUUUUUCAAGAACGUCUUUAUAAUCUAAAUUUCGUCGUGACUUAGCGCGCGAUAAAGCGCGCCCCUAAAAAAUAUCGUUCAAAUCAUUAAAACUUUAAUAACUAAUCACGUAACUGCAUGUGCCCAUUGUGCCGCCAACUAAAACUGGUUGGCCUGUCAGUUGAUAGUCCACCGGUAUAAGAGGAUGAUGUGGUGGGAAAGCUCGUGUUGAUCCCUAUCAGUUAAUAUAAUAUUUUAUAUACAUAUAUCAAAUAUUGCUAUUAUGUUUAUUAAAGCAAACCUUUCUGUGCACAA